AUCGGUGACAGGUGGUGCAUGGUUGUCGUCAGCUCGUGUCGUGAGAUGUUGGGUUAAGUCCCGCAACGAGCGCAGCCCUUGUCAUUAGUUGCCAUCGAUUUGGUUGGGCACUCUAAUGAGACUGCCGGUGACAAACCGGAGGAAGGUGGGGAUGACGUCAAGUCCUCAUGGCCCUUAUGGGUAGGGCUUCACACGUCAUACAAUGGUCGGUACAGAGGGUUGCCAACCCGCGAGGGGGAGCUAAUCCCACAAAGCCGAUCGUAGUCCGGAUCGCAGUCUGCAACUCGACUGCGUGAAGUCGGAAUCGCUAGUAAUCGUGGAUCAGCAUGUCACGGUGAAUACCGGUUCCCGGGUCUU
rnacentral:rRNA from 1 species